rnacentral:rRNA from 1 species
GGCGAACGCUGGCGGCGUGCUUAACACAUGCAAGUCGAACGAAGAGCGACGGAAGCUUGCUUCUAUCAAUCUUAGUGGCGAACGGGUGAGUAACGCGUAAUCAACCUGCCCCUCAGAGGGGGACAACAGUUGGAAACGACUGCUAAUACCGCAUACGAUCUAACCUCGGCAUCGAGGAUAGAUGAAAGGUGGCCUCUACAUGUAAGCUAUCACUGAAGGAGGGGAUUGCGUCUGAUUAGCUAGUUGGAGGGGUAACGGCCCACCAAGGCGAUGAUCAGUAGCCGGUCUGAGAGGAUGAACGGCCACAUUGGGACUGAGACACGGCCCAGACUCCUACGGGAGGCAGCAGUGGGGAAUCUUCCGCAAUGGACGAAAGUCUGACGGAGCAACGCCGCGUGAGUGAUGACGGCCUUCGGGUUGUAAAGCUCUGUUAAUCGGGACGAAAGGCCUUCUUGCGAAUAGUGAGAAGGAUUGACGGUACCGGAAUAGAAAGCCACGGCUAACUACGUG